rfam:Haloarcula marismortui ATCC 43049 chromosome I, complete sequence.
CCCGACGGAGGAUAGAGGAAGUCGCCGCGAGGCGGCUGGCCGCGAAAUUCGUG